GGAGGAAGGUGGGGAUGACGUCAAGUCAUCAUGGCCCUUAUGUCCAGGGCGACACACGUGCUACAAUGGCCGGCACAGCGGGAAGCGGAGGGGCGACCCUGAGCGGAUCCCUUGAAAGCCGGUCCCAGUUCGGAUUGCAGUCUGCAACUCGACUGCAUGAAGUUGGAAUCGCUAGUAAUCGCGGAUCAGCCAAGCCGCGGUGAAUACGUUCCCGGGCCUU
rnacentral:rRNA from 1 species